UACGUAGGUGGCAAGCGUUGUCCGGAAUUAUUGGGCGUAAAGCGCGCGCAGGCGGCCUCUUAAGUCUGAUGUGAAAGCCCCCGGCUCAACCGGGGGAGGGCCAUUGGAAACUGGGAGGCUUGAGUAUAGGAGAGAAGAGUGGAAUUCCACGUGUAGCGGUGAAAUGACGUAGAGAUCGGGAGGAACACCAGAGGCGAAGGCG
rnacentral:rRNA from 1 species